UACAGAGGGUGCAAGCGUUGUUCGGAAUUAUUGGGCGUAAAGCGCGUGUAGGCGGCUUUGCAAGUCGGGUGUGAAAGCCCUCAGCUCAACUGAGGAAGUGCGCCCGAAACUGCAUUGCUUGAGUACCGGAGAGGAUGGCGGAAUUCCCGGAGUAGAGGUGAAAUUCGUAGAUAUCGGGAGGAACACCGGUGGCGAAGGCGGCCAUCUGGACGGAUACUGACGCUGAGGCACGAAGGUCAGGGGAGCAAACGGG
rnacentral:rRNA from 1 species